GCGCGAAUGGUUUGGCCGAUGUCCGAUUAGCUAGUUGGUGGGGUAAAGGCCUACCAAGGCGAUGAUCGGUAGCUGGUCUGAGAGGAUGAUCAGCCACACUGGGACUGAGACACGGCCCAG
rnacentral:rRNA from 1 species